GAUGAAGAACGUAGCGAAAUGCGAUAAGUAAUGUGAAUUGCAGAAUUCAGUGAAUCAUCGAGUCUUUGAACGCACAUUGCGCCCCCUGGUAUUCCGGGGGGCAUGCCUGUCCGAGCGUCAUUGCUGCCCUCAAGCACGGCUUGUGUGUUGGGCCCCCGCCCCCCGGCUUCGGGGGGCGGGCCCGAAAGGCAGCGGCGGCACCGCGUCCGGUCCUCGAGCGUAUGGGGCUUCGUCACCCGCUCUGUAGGCCCGGCCGGCGCCCGCCGGCGACCCCAAUCAAUCUUUCCAGGUUGACCUCGGAUCAGGUAGGGAUACCCGCUGAACUUAAGCAUAUCAAUAAGCGGAGGA
rnacentral:misc_RNA from 1 species